AACGCGACCUUAACCUGCUUGCUAUCCUGUCUUGCUUUGGCAGUACGCUGGCUUCUUAGAGGGACUAUCGGCUCAAGCCGAUGGAAGUUUGAGGCAAUAACAGGUCUGUGAUGCCCUUGGAUGUUCUGGGCCUUUUGUUUUCUACACUGACGGAGCCAGCGAGUACUUCCUUGGCCGAAAGGCCCGGGUAAUCUUGGUAUACUC
rnacentral:rRNA from 1 species